rnacentral:misc_RNA from 1 species
GGUGAAGAACGCAGCGAAAUGCGAUAAGUAAUGUGAAUUGCAGAAUUCAGUGAAUCAUCGAAUCUUUGAACGCACAUUGCGCCCGCCAGUAUUCUGGCGGGCAUGCCUGUUCGAGCGUCAUUACAACCCUCAGGCCCCCGGGCCUGGCGUUGGGGAUCGGCGGAAGCCCCCUGCGGGCACAACGCCGUCCCCCAAAUACAGUGGCGGUCCCGCCGCAGCUUCCAUUGCGUAGUAGCUAACACCUCGCAACUGGAGAGCGGCGCGGCCACGCCGUAAAACACCCAACUUCUGAAUGUUGACCUCGAAUCAGGUAGGAAUACCCGCUGAACUUAAGCAUAUCAAUAAGCGGAGGA